rnacentral:rRNA from 1 species
GACGAACGCUGGCGGCGCGCCUAACACAUGCAAGUCGAACGAGCGAGAGAGAGCUUGCUUUCUCGAGCGAGUGGCGAACGGGUGAGUAACGCGUGAGGAACCUGCCUCAAAGAGGGGGACAACAGUUGGAAACGACUGCUAAUACCGCAUAAGCCCACGACCCGGCCUCGGGUAGAGGGAAAAGGAGCAAUCCGCUUUGAGAUGGCCUCGCGUCCGAUUAGCUAGUUGGUGAGGUAACGGCCCACCAAGGCGACGAUCGGUAGCCGGACUGAGAGGUUGAACGGCCACAUUGGGACUGAGACACGGCCCAGACUCCUACGGGAGGCAGCAGUGGGGAAUAUUGCACAAUGGGGGAAACCCUGAUGCAGCGACGCCGCGUGGAGGAAGAAGGUCUGCGGAUUGUAAACUCCUGUUGUUGAGGAAGAUAAUGACGGUACUCAACAAGGAAGUGACGGCUAACUACGUG